GACCACACGAACGCGUGGAGCAUGUGGCUUAAUUUGACUCAACGCGGGAAAUCUUACCGGGUCCGGACACACUGAGGAUUGACAGGCAAUAUCUCAUGUUAACGGUAAGUUUACUUACCGCUUAGCAUCAGUGUUAAAUAUGCUAGUCCUUUCAUGAUUAUGUGAUAGGUGGUGCAUGGCCGUUCUUAGUUCGUGGAGUGAUCUGUCUGCUUAAUUGCGUUUCACUAAGGGCCCAUAAAUUCAAGGUAGUUAGCUCUCGUCGCUCUAUGGACCCCUUAACUCCAAUAUUCUUAUUGUGUUAAGCGCGUGUCUUUAUUUUAAGAGUUUUAAGACACUGCGCAUGCUGUUGGGCUCUGAAAGCAACAACGUGACCGCAACGUCUUGUUGCCUUAAACUACGUAUAUUGCAAUUUAUUGUAAUAUCGCUUACAGAGGCAUUUAAA
rnacentral:rRNA from 1 species